UAUAGAUAAAAUUUAGUCCUGAUAUCUAUGAUGAGUUUAUUUACAACAAAAACAAAUAUUUACAAACAAUUAAGAUUAGGCAUCAUGAUUCUCACCAAAAUAUUGAGGUUCACCUAGGUGCCCAGGUAGGGUAAAUAUUUCUUGUUCCGUAAGUGGCAUCCGUCGUUAUCUUCUUGCAAGCAAACAUAUCUGAGAAAUAUAUUAAUUGAU
rnacentral:lncRNA from 1 species